rnacentral:rRNA from 1 species
UACGUAGGAGGCGAGCGUUGUCCGGAGUUACUGGGCGUAAAGGGUGCGCAGGCGGUGGCCCGCGUGGGCGGUGAAAGCUCCUGGCUCAACUGGGAGAGGGCCGUCCAGACGGGGGUCACUUGAGGGGCGGAGAGGGGGCGUGGAAUUCCGGGGUGUAGCGGUGGAAUGGCGUAGAGAUCCGGAAGGAACACCGGGUGGGCGAAGGCGGCCUGCGUGGGGCAGUUGCUGACACUGAGGCG